UCAGUGUAUGGACAUGUUGGGUGCGAGUGCAGCAGAUUCUGGAGCUGUUCUCGUACUGCAUGGGUUCUUGUUGCUAAAGCCUUGUUGAAUCUGGGAGAAUUGCUGAUUCUGAUACAUGUGACCUGUUUAUGGGAUCAAACAUCUAUAUGUUUAUGGAUAGUAACAUGAGGACAGAAAUAUAUGGAACCCGGAAUGUCCGAAAUAGAUGAAAAAGAAAAAAAAGGAACAUUUUAUACUUGUGGAACGCAAGGAAAAUGUACCGGAGUCGUACUUCCUAUUAUUUGACAUGUAAUGGAAUGCUUGGGACUUUUGGAAAUGCGCCCUGGAAAAUAAAUGGAAUGCAUAGCGCUAUAUCCGGGCCUGCGCGAUUACCAGUUGGAAUGCAAUCCGCAGAAGCUGCCACUCGUGGAUUAAUUAACAGACGUUGUGCACAAAUGUUGUUUAUUUGAUCAUUAAAGGGGGGAUUUAUACUGGCUGACAGAGACCGGCCACUUAACGCUUCUGAUGAAGAACGCAAUAGAGUUUGAAACACGUUAAAACAGUGUGGCUGACAUACUUGCCGGCUAAUGUGGAGAACGCAUUUACCUGGACUGACCAAGGGAUUGAGGGGUAUCUGGAAUUCUGUGCAAACCCUUAAGCAAGAUCUGGUCCGAUGAGUAUAAGAUGCCUCCUUACACAAAUUGAUGUAUUACAUGCUUUCCUCUAUGUAUUGUUUGUGAGUGCAUUUUAAAAUUACAUUUUUAGACUUA